UACGGAGGGAGCUAGCGUUAUUCGGAAUUACUGGGCGUAAAGCGCACGUAGGCGGCUUUGUAAGUUAGAGGUGAAGGCCUGGAGCUCAACUCCAGAAUUGCCUUUAAGACUGCAUCGCUUGAAUCCAGGAGAGGUGAGUGGAAUUCCGAGUGUAGAGGUGAAAUUCGUAGAUAUCGGGAGGAACACCAGUGGCGAAGGCGGCGACCUGGACGGACACUGACGCUGAGACGCGAAAGCGUGGGGAGCAAACAGG
rnacentral:rRNA from 1 species